rnacentral:tRNA from 1 species
GGUAUUAAGCCGGAUUUACGGAUAACAUUGAUGUCGUUAAAUAUGAGUAUACCUCUAAUACCU